rnacentral:rRNA from 1 species
UGGGGAAUAUUGGACAAUGGGCGCAAGCCUGAUCCAGCCAUGCCGCGUGAGUGAUGAAGGCCCUAGGGUUGUAAAGCUCUUUUGUGCGGGAAGAUAAUGACGGUACCGCAAGAAUAAGCCCCGGCUAACUUCGUGCCAGCAGCCGCGGUAAUACGAAGGGGGCUAGCGUUGCUCGGAAUCACUGGGCGUAAAGGGUGCGUAGGCGGGUUUCUAAGUCAGAGGUGAAAUCCUGGAGCUCAACUCCAGAACUGCCUUUGAUACUGGAAGUCUUGAGUAUGGGAGAGGUGAGUGGAACUGCGAGUGUAGAGGUGAAAUUCGUAGAUAUUCGCAAGAACACCAGUGGCGAAGGCGGCUCACUGGCCCAUUACUGACGCUGAGGCACGAAAGCGUGGGGAGCAAACA